AUUGAACGCUGGCGGCGUGCCUAACACAUGCAAGUCGAGCGGCAGCGCGGUAGCAAUACUGGCGGCGAGCGGCGGACGGGUGAGCAAUGCUUGGGAAUCUGCCUAUCAGUGGGGGACAACCCGGGGAAACUCGGGCUAAUACCGCAUACGUUCUUCGGAAGAAAGCGGGGGUCGCAAGACCUCGCGCUGAUAGAUGAGCCCAAGUCGGAUUAGCUAGUUGGUGAGGUAAAGGCUCACCAAGGCGACGAUCCGUAGCUGGUCUGAGAGGACGACCAGCCACACCGGAACUGAGACACGGUCCGGACUCCUACGGGAGGCAGCAGUGGGGAAUAUUGGACAAUGGGCGAAAGCCUGAUCCAGCGACGCCGCGUGGGUGAAGAAGGCCUGCGGGUUGUAAAGCCCUUUCGUUGGGGAAGAAAAGUGUCGACCUAAUACGUCGGCACCUUGACGUUACCCAAAGAAGAAGCACCGGCUAACUCUGUGCCAGCAGCCGCGGUAAACAU
rnacentral:rRNA from 1 species